rnacentral:rRNA from 1 species
GAUGAACGCUAGCGGCAGGCUUAAUACAUGCAAGUCGAGGGGCAGCAGGGGAUAGCAAUAUUCGCUGGCGACCGGCGCACGGGUGCGUAACACGUAUACAAUCUGCCUUUAACAGGGGGGAUAGCCUUUCGAAAGAGAGAUUAAUACCCCAUAAUAGAAGAUUCGGCAUCGUAAUUUUUUUGAAAGCUCCGGCGGUUAGAGAUGAGUAUGCGUCUG